UGAGUGGUUUGAGAUCACCAAGCAUGCUUGAAUUGUAUAUCAUUUCUUUUCUCAUUUUAUUUACUAACCAAAAGCACAAAAUAUUUUACUAACAUUUCUUGUUUAUAGCUUGAGCAAUCACAAGGUCUAAAAGCUUCUAGGAGAUCCUUUGUGCAAUGAUAAGGUCAAGAGAAGAUGAAAGCAAGCAUGGAAAUGGUUCCCAAAGCUCUCAUCCAUCAAAUAUGCC
rnacentral:lncRNA from 1 species